AAAUAAUAUAAGAAUUAUUCAGGAAAAUCUUAAAUCGCGGUACCGUUACGCUUUUGAGUUGUGCUCCUGCUGGUUUUAAGUUAUAUUUAUGAAAAUAUCAUUUUUAUACAGUAAAAUAGUUGUUCUAAAAAAUCGUGUUCGGAAAUUUUUGUUUAUUUCGUCAUUCCGCUGAUAUGGCGAUUUCUUUGACGACUGCAAUAUAUUUCUGAAUUAUUUGAGUGAAUUGCUCUUUAUUAUUAAAAUAUCCAAAACUAAGAAAAAGCCGAACACAAUUUUGAAACUGACGUCUUUAGCUAUGUCCUGUGAAAAUUUGAGAAAAAUUGGUUAAAACCCGCAGGAGAACAACUCGUUUGAAAAUCAGUAAUUGCCGUAAAAUUCUUCGGGAGAAAAUUGAAUUUGAAUAUUACAUUUUCAAUGUUUU